rnacentral:telomerase_RNA from 1 species
ACGAGCUUACAUAUCGGCGGCCGGGUUGCUACGUUUAACCGCUGUGUGUUGAAUGUAGCGUUUCUAAACUAAACUACUUGAUGUGCCUUGUGCACGUCCAAGGAUGGUGUUUCUUUGUCGGUUCAAUCAUCGAGAACAAAAUUGUAACUGAUCGCUCCCGGUCGCCAUUUUUUU